rnacentral:rRNA from 1 species
GACGAACGCUGGCGGCGUGCUUAACACAUGCAAGUCGAACGGAAAGGCCCUGCUUUUGUGGGGUGCUCGAGUGGCGAACGGGUGAGUAAAACGUGAGUAACCUGCCCUUGACUUUGGGAUAAAUUCAGGAAACUGGGGCUAAUACCGGAUAGGAGCUCCUGCUGCAUGGUGGGGGGUGGAAAGUUUCGGCGGUUGGGGAUGGACUCGCGGCUUAUCAGCUUGUUGGUGGGGUAGUGGCUUACCAAGGCUUUGACGGGUAGCCGGCCUGAGAGGGUGACCGGCCACAUUGGGACUGAGAUACGGCCCAGACUCCUACGGGCGGCAGCAGUGGGGAAUAUUGCACAAUGGGCGGAAGCCUGAUGCAGCAACGCCGCGUGCGGGAUGACGUCCUUCGGGUUGUAAACCGCUUUCGCCUGUGACGAAGCGUCAGUGACGGUAAUUGGUAAAGAAGCACCGGCUAACUACGUG